GUAGGUGGCAAGCGUUGUCCGGAAUUAUUGGGCGUAAAGCGCGCGCAGGCGGUCCUUUAAGUCUGAUGUGAAAGCCCACGGCUCAACCGUGGAGGGUCAUUGGAAACUGGGGGACUUGAGUGCAGAAGAGGAAAGCGGAAUUCCACGUGUAGCGGUGAAAUGCGUAGAGAUGUGGAGGAACACCAGUGGCGAAGGCGGCUUUCUGGUCUGUAACUGACGCUGAGGCGCGAAAGCGUGGGGAGCAAACAGGAUUAGAUACCCUGGUAGUCCACGCCGUAAACGAUGAGUGCUAAGUGUUAGAGGGUUUCCGCCCUUUAGUGCUGCAGCUAACGCAUUAAGCACUCCGCCUGGGGAGUACGGCCGCAAGGCUG
rnacentral:rRNA from 1 species